CGUAGCUCUGUCUUGUUGCCAUUGGACUUGAUGAUGUAGCGAUCAGUACCAUUGACAACGGGCUUGGAGGGGGGAAAAGAGAGCAUCAGGGCUGGGACAAGGGGAGCUGAGGGGGAAAGAGAGCAUCAGGGCUGGGACAAGGGGAGCUGAGGGGGGAAAGAGAGCAUCGGGGCUGGGACAAGGGGAGCUGAGGGGGGAAAGAGAGCAUCAGGGCUGGGACAAGGGGAGCUGCUCGCUCA